rnacentral:rRNA from 1 species
UACGUAGGUGGCAAGCGUUGUCCGGAUUUACUGGGCGUAAAGAGCGCGCAGGCGGUCGUUCAAGUCGCGUGUGAAAGCCCCCGGCUCAACUGGGGAGGGUCACGCGAUACUGAUCGACUGGAAGGCAGGAGAGGGUAGUGGAAUUCCCAGUGUAGUGGUGAAAUGCGUAGAUAUCGGGAGGAACACCAGUGGCGAAGGCGACUACCUGGCCUGUUCUUGACGCUGAGGCGCGAAAGCUAGGGGAGCAAACGGG